rnacentral:rRNA from 1 species
UACGUAGGAUGCUAGCGUUGUCCGGAUUUACUGGGCGUAAAGGGCGCGUAGGCGGCCACCGCAAGUCGACUGUGAAAUCUCCGGGCUUAACCCGGAAAGGUCAGCCGAUACUGCGGGGCUAGAGUGCAGAAGGGGCAACUGGAAUUCGUCGGUGUAGCGGUGAAAUGCGUAGAUAUCGAGAGGAACACCUGCGGCGAAGGCGGGUUGCUGGGCUGACACUGACGCUGAUGCGCGAAAGCUAGGGGAGCGAACGGG